UACGUAGGGUGCAAGCGUUGUCCGGAAUUAUUGGGCGUAAAGAGCUCGUAGGCGGCUUGUCGCGUCGACUGUGAAAACCCGGGGCUCAACUCCGGGCCUGCAGUCGAUACGGGCUGGCUUGAGUGCGGUAGGGGAGACUGGAAUUCCUGGUGUAGCGGUGGAAUGCGCAGAUAUCAGGAGGAACACCGGUGGCGAAGGCGGGUCUCUGGGCAGUAACUGACGCUGAGGAGCGAAAGCGUGGGGAGCGAACAGG
rnacentral:rRNA from 1 species